UAAAAGAGGGAACGACAAUUCCUGCCACAUC
rnacentral:piRNA from 1 species